UUCCUGGACGAGAUCCUGAAGUUGCUGACUGCAACAAAUGGUGAGAGAAUGCGUGGCAUCCAGCAAAGCACCAGGAGAACAGCAGGACCCGGCUCCAUGGACAUUCCGCCUUUGUUCGGCUGAUCCACCCCUGGGGGCUCUGCCUUUUCCAUCGUGGGCAACACCCCCUCUGGAGAAAUCGAAACUGUAACCGAGCUCCCAAAGCCAGUGCUUCACCGAGAUCAUCUAAAGAGGCGACGCCCACAUGGGAGUCGAGCCGAAGCUGGAGAUAGAAGAAUUCUGCCCCUCGUGAGAGGAGAUCUAAGAGUUGCACCCUUCCUGAAAGAGAAUCCUAAAGUGGAAGAGACUGAACUAAAAACCCAUUAUAUUUGUAUUGAGUACCAUCACUGUUUACUGAGAUUUAAGUGUUUGUUUUUAAUUUUGGGGUUUUUUGUUUGUUUGCUUAAUGUGUUUUGUUAUUGAGUUUUUGGUGUCCCACAAAGCAAAGUGGGUGCUCUGUGGAGGAGGCGAGAUUUUAAGGUGUAUGUUUGGAAAAAUUUUAAGCUCCUAGUUAAAAUUUGAAAAAAAAA